rnacentral:misc_RNA from 1 species
AACAUUGGUGUCAAGUCAGCAGAAGAAGAAGGCAUUUGUUGUGAUUGGGAUCAAUACGGCGUUUAGCAGUAGGAAGCGGCGGGACUCUGUUAGAGAGACCUGGAUGCCCCAAGGUCAAAAGCUCCAAGAUCUAGAGCGAGAGAAGGGAAUUGUUGUUCGAUUCAUGAUUGGCCACAGUGCUACUUCAAACAGCAUUUUAGAUCGCGCCAUUGAUUCAGAGGAUGCUCAGCACAAUGACUUUCUGAGG